rnacentral:rRNA from 1 species
CGUACACUCCUGCGGGAGGCAGCAGUGGGGAAUAUUGGACAAUGGGCGCAAGCCUGAUCCAGCCAUGCCGCGUGAGUGAUGAAGGCCCUAGGGUUGUAAAGCUCUUUCACCGGUGAAGAUAAUGACGGUAACCGGAGAAGAAGCCCCGGCUAACUUCGUGCCAGCAGCCGCGGUAAUACGAAGGGGGCUAGCGUUGUUCGGAUUUACUGGGCGUAAAGCGCACGUAGGCGGACUAUUAAGUCAGGGGUGAAAUCCCGGGGCUCAACCCCGGAACUGCCUUUGAUACUGGUAGUCUUGAGUUCGAGAGAGGUGAGUGGAAUUCCGAGUGUAGAGGUGAAAUUCGUAGAUAUUCGGAGGAACACCAGUGGCGAAGGCGGCUCACUGGCUCGAUACUGACGCUGAGGUGCGAAAGCGUGGGGAGCAAACAGGAUUAGAAACCCCUGUAGUCCCAUG